rnacentral:lncRNA from 1 species
CACUAACUCGCAUCACUACUUCGUAGCUAGUAAAAAUACCAUCAUUGCAGAGACACAUCACACACCUGCUGGCUCAACCAUCAAAUCCAUUAAUUUCAGUACGUACAUAAAUACUAGCAGCAGCAGCAGUAAUUUGACCGUAUGGAUCGAUCUCAGGCAGGGGUAGUACAAAAAAGAGGAACACAUAAUAUUACUUGAGCAUUUCAUUCAAGCUCGCUCGCACAGCAGCAACCAAAUCGAUGCACGAUAAGAUCCAUGGAGCUUAGAGAGAUUAUGAUAUCAUCAGACACUCUUGCAAAAGCUGAAGACUAAAAACUUAGGCGGUGAGCUCUUCUUCCUUGUGCGUCUCGAUGACGAGGUCGGACUUGGGGUAUGCGUGGCAGGUGAGCACCCACCCGGCCUCCAUCUGGUCGUCGUCGAGGAAGCUCUGGUCCGACUGGUCCACCUCGCCGGAGAUCACCUUGCCGGCGCACGACGAGCACGACCCGGCCCUGCACGAGUAGGGCAGGUCGAUCCCUUCUUCCUCGAAGUGGUCAAGGAUGUACACGUCGUCGGGGACCUCCAUCUCCACCUCCCCCUCCGGCGUCACCAGCUUCACCUUGUACGUCGCCUGAGCACGGAGCCGGAUGGCCCUCGCCGACGGCGUCAGGGGAAGCGCCACGCGGGAUGGGGCGACGAUUGGGGACGGCGCGGGGGCGGCGGAUGUGAAGAGGGAGAAGGGCGCGCGGAGGCUGCUCAGGGCGGUCGCCAUUGCUGCUGAGAGCUGAGAGCUUGCUUGCUUGCUUGUGUGGUGUGAGGAAGAAGAAGGAGGAUGAGCUAGGGGAUGGAUGAAGAGGGGGGAUAAGUAAGUAAAGGGGGGGGCUGUGUGCCACGUGGCGGGACGUGGGUGGGGGGCUUAUCUUGGAGCGAGGAGCGUCACACGAUGCUCAUCCUCGUCGGCGCCGGGGGGCGUGUGGCUGCCCGGCGACAUCCCGUGAUCUCUCUCGCUUUCUCUUUUUUUUUUGACAAAGAAGGCAGCCUAGUUUCUGCUGGGCCUUUUCCGGCCCAAUUACUAACUAACUACUUCGGUUGCUCGGCUUUCCUUCCAGGCCCGCUAAGCGAAGCCGACGGCAGAUGCAGCCGUGGGCUGGCCGGGGAAUAUGCCGAGUUUUGGGCGGGUUAUUUUUUUUUCCUUUGAUGCGAAUAUGCCUUUUUUUUUUCUUGCAACAAGUCUGAACUUUUAUUUCUACGGACAAGUCUUGUAACUAGUACACGCGGAGAGACUUUUUUGAGUUUUGACGCGAGUUUCUGUUUGACUGACUUGUUCUCUGCGUCCAUUCGAUUUAAUUUAUCGAGACUUUUUCUGUGACAGCUAAAUAUCGAGACUUUGUUGCGGGGUUCUUUUUCGUACCAUUGCUUUCCACGCAUUUAUUAAUUUAUGUGAAUGGAGAAAACGUCUUAAAUCUAUAAUAUCUAUAAAGUUGAUCUUCACUAUUUUUGUUUGCAAGCUUGACAUAUAAGAUGUCUACAUCAUACGCAUGCAUAGUCUCCACAUCACCAUCCACAUCAUGUGUUGUAAAUCACUAGGAAUCCAUUUUGGUGGUCUUUUUGAAUGUCAUAUUUUGAUACUUAGGAUUGUCAACUUAACGUUCUAUAUAAAUAUUUCGCCAAAUACACAUAUUUUCAUGACAUUAUCAAUCUUUUUAAGAUCUGCAAACACACAUAUUUUGAUGUUCAUGUACAUCAAAAUUAUUCCUAUUGUUUUGCUCCAUAGGUGUUAUGAAUGAUAAAAUCAUUUUGUCCUACAAUAUUUAUAUUUCUUUUGCAUUUAACCAUAUUAUUAUCAUGUGUUCCUAACGUCAUAUCCAGAUGUGCAUCUAGAACUUUCCGCGGCAACGCGCGGGGAUCACCUAGUUAUUACUGUUUGCAAUCCAUAUAUAAAGCGAAGAUAUAUAAAGCAAAAAAAAAACAUCACCUAGUUAUUACUGUUUGCGGGGAUCCACACCGUAAUAAUAACCUAAACGAACAUAUAUAACAAUCCAUGUGGGCAGAAAAAAACAUACAUGAGACAUAUAUAAAGCGACGUCAUCAGCUAUCUACUCCAAUUAUCCAACUGUUAAUCUGCUACCUAGAUCGCUUACAUAUGCAGGCCGUUGCAUGUGCCGUGCUAUAUCACGAAGAUCCAAGACAUAAUACGUGAUCUAGACAGACAUGUAGCUGCUCUCUGUCCUUUCUUACUGAUCAAGGAACAUUUAUAAAAUUAAAAUGUUCUCAUCAGUUCCUGCUGAUUGUCUUGAGACAUUAGCAACCGGUUAAUGAUAAAGAAUGGAAAUCAACGGGGGUCGUCAUCAGAUGCAGAAUCUCUUGUAUGCUUAGCUUGUGGAUUACUACUGUAAUAAAUGCGCGUGGCGUAAAGUUUGCACCAAAUCACACAGCGACAAACGGUCAGACAUUGCGUACAUGCAUCCAUGUAUCCCUUCAUUUGACCACAUAAAGCAGUAUUACCUCCGUCCAAUAAUAACGGGGUGUAUUAGCUUUCCUUUGAUCUAUGGUUUGACCACAAAUUAUUCUAAUAAUAUAUAAUUAUAAGGCGUAAGUUGAUAUCCAUUAUAUUUCUAUUCAACGAUAUUUGAUUAUGGUUAUGACUUUGAUCACAUUAGUCACAUAUUAAUAGAGUAAUUUGUGAUCAAAGGCGAAGUACUACAACAGCUAAUACACACUUAUGUUUAAUUAAUUAAAACAGACUUGAUGCUUCCCCUCUACACUUUUCCCCCUGAUUAGUUCCAGCUGCUCCUUCCGAGUAAUUCAAAUACAUCUGCUGUAGUUACCGUUCCUCGCUAUUUGGAUUGAUCGAUUGACUGAUUGAUUAAGGUGUGUGCACGUAAGAAGGUCAAUUAAUUGAUUAACUGACUAAGAUCCGUGUGUUUUGGUCUAGCCAUGCAUGAUUUUCACUUUGCUUGCAAGCAAGCAGAUAGCUAGCUAGGCAGUAUUUCGUGCCUCCCAUGCCAUGCAUCUUGGUUUUCCCAGGCCAAAAAACUGUCUGUCUGUCCGUCUGUCAGGCAGCAAGGGGAAUGGUCGAAUAUUGAACCGGUCAUGCACGGGGUAACUGACGACGCUAGAACACGCAGUAUAUCGUACCACGCACGUCUGCUUCUUCUAUUUUGACAAAAAAUAGCAAAGAUAUUUCUUGUUUUUCCCCUCUUCUCAUUCAUGUUUUCUUGGCAUGCUCUUUCUUUUGGUAUGUGGCAAUAAUGAGCUUAUCCGAGUUAGGAUAAGGUUAGCACAGCCACAAUAUUAAUCAAUACUAUUAGUAUAUCGUCUGGUAGUAAUGUGUUGUUAAGUCAUGAUGGUGGAGAACAACAACACACGCUUUGUUAGUUAGAAUGGCCAGCCAGCUAGCUCAGUUGAAUGCCCUUCAAUCUAUGAUUGAUUUGCGUAUGCAUAUUUCUGUUGAAGCCGUCAUAUAUAUGGCGUGGCAGCUGCAUAUGCAAGAGCUAGUGUCCAACAAACAAGAACCAACCAGACCCAAAGCGUGUCGGCGCCGAUAGCCCGUUCUGCCGUUCCCUUGCGUGGCACGACACGGUAACCAAUCAAAAUCCAUAUCAUUUUUUCCUUUCUCAUAAAAAAUGUCUAGUACAGUCGCAAAAAAAAUAAAUGUUUAGUGCUAUAUACUCCUACUCCUUCCUAAAUAUCAUAAGUUUUUCCUACUAAGUUAUAGUUUUGUCUGUCUUAAAUCAAACUUCUUCAAGUUAUAUAUCUUCAUAGUAUGUCCAUUUAAUAUUGUUGAUCUCAGUAGAUUUUAUUUAACUUAGAACGACACGGACACAAUUUCUUAUACUCGUAGUACUAGUACUAUUUGGGAACGAAGCUGGUACUUAGAGUAUUUUUUUUUCGUGAUUCAAGUAUUUUUAUUGAGUGCCUUAAUGAACUCCAUUUUUCAUUUUCGACUCCGAUGUGGCAUGGGCUUUGCCGCAAGAAAAAAAAACAUCGAAAAAAUGGAAAAAAAGAAAGGAAAAGGAAACGGUAAAGUGUGAAAAGGUUUUAAAAAUGCCAGCGUGGGGUCCACCCAGUUUGAGGUUGACGACGACAAGUAGUUGCAGCAGCAGAGGAGUAUUUCUUUCUCCCUUCCGUGCGCCCAAAUUUCUCCUCUCCCCCCUUCCUUCCUGCUCUCUCUUCUUCGCCAUUCGGGACCUCUUUCUUCUCCAAUCUCGCUACUAACUCCUCUCCGAUCAACCGGUCCAGAGACGGAGGCGCAGCAGACGCACCGAGGUAACACGGAGAUCCAUCCCGCCCAACCAUCUUCUCCUGCCCCCCCUCUCAUGAUUUCUGGUGUUUCUGUUGGUUGUUCUUGUUAUGGGAUUGGAUUCGGUUGGAGCUUGGAAGAACACGCGCGCCGUACAUGCAUUCGGCAACGACAGCGGGGGUUUAUUUCCGAUUUCAAGACCCAAGAACGGAUUUUUGGGACGGAUUUGGGGAUUGGGAUGUUUCUGUCUUCCGUGCCGUCGACUCCCGCCCACCUCUGUUGACUUGGACCUCCGGCCCUUUAAUUUUUUUAUUUUAGGAUUUUUGUUCGGGGGAUUUGUUCUUGUAGUAGUACUAGCUCUUUAUUUUUUUUGGAUCAUUGGGAUUUGGAAGGGACAGCCUGGCCUUCGGGUUGAUCGCCAACGCCCCCGCCUUCGAUUUCACCAACCUUCUUCUUCUUGUUGGUGCGAUUCAAGUUUCAGGCUCCCGAUUUGCUCAGCGUUUCUGACCAUCUGCGCCUCGAUUUGCUAGGUCAAUGCUUGCUCGAUUCCAACCUUCGUGAGCAGUAGUGAUCAAUGGAUGCAUCCCAUUUUCUUUCUCUUUCAAAUUUGUUGACUUGGGAUUUUACUCUAUCUUUUGUUCUCCUGUCGGUUGGUUGGUUUGCUUGUAUUGACCCAGUAAUGGAUGGAUACUAAUGGCGUGCUGCUUGGCUGAACUGGUCAGGCGAAGGCGACCGCCAACCACCCCGGAGGAGAUCUGAGACCCGACCGACCGCCGCCUGCUGGAGGGGGAAGCUGGUGGAGCAGCAGGAAGGGCCGUAUGCUUGUCGCAGGCCAUGUGCCCGGACAUGAAUCCGCGCCAUACAGCAAGGUAGUCUAGUGUUUGAUUCCAGGAAUAUCGCCAUACUGUGUUAUGAAUUUUGUGUCCCAAUUCAUAGUCAUAGGUUCCAUGGGAUGCUCAGGAAGGGCUCUGUAUCAAUGAAAUUUCCUGUAUCAAUAAGCCAAUUGUAGUCUCGGACACCUGGUAUAUGCAGAACCAGAAACUUGCUUAGCCUUUAAUUCAUUAGUGUCGUCUGUUAAACAAUGGAAUGGAAGUUCCUUUAGUUUUCUGGUUUCUGGUCUUGCACGCCUGAAACGUCGGUCAACUCUUCGACACUAACCUGAUGCUGUGUUUGGGUAAACCUGAAUGAAGAUAUUUUGUUUAUUUCUCCGGUCACCUAACCCUGUGGAUAUUUGAUUUUGGACAACCUGGUUUGGUAGAGAAGUGCCCUUGAGGCAAGGGAACUUCCUCAUCAGAUAUUUGUGUCUUUGACUGUGUCUGUGUUUUCUAAAUCCCAUUCUGACCCGGUCUUCUUUUCGUACUGGCAGUCAAGUUGAAUCAGAGGUUCUAGACGGUAAUCGUAACCAUCACAGCCAGCUUGAUGCUGAUCAUCUUGUACAAAUUGGGAGGAGUCCUAUCAAGCGUGGUAGCAACAAUCUGUCCACAGACGACAAUUUCUCCUCGAGUGCCUCUUUGCAUAAACAUGAACAUGUGAGCUCCGAUCCAUCGGCCCCUAAGGCCGAUGACCGCUCAAUUAAGUCUGGUGAUGAUUCUGAUGGGGCUGAGAGUACCAAUGGCAAAAGCAACAAUACGGACUCCCCAGGUACUGAAAAUGAUAGCAUCUGGAUACCACCUGAAGCUGCAGACAAGGGAGAUGAGACCGAGAGUAACAUUGCUUAUGAUGACGACGAUGACGAUUAUGGUGAUGGAAUCAAGUGGGGCCAGUCAAGUUUCCCAGCCGCUGGUGAGGAACACGAGGCCAGCCCCAAUCCUAAGGAUGAGCGAGAAAAUGCAAUGUUGGAAGCUAUGAAUGGACAACUCAAGAUACUCGUGAGUCGGUUUUUGGCCUCUGCUGGUAUCCCCUUUGGAAAAGGAGAGAGUAGUGAGAGUUGGCUCGAUAUUGUGACCUCCCUGUCGUGGGAAGCUGCACUACUUAUCAAACCUGAUUCUACCAUCGGAAAGGAAAUGGACCCUGGCUCUUAUAUCAAGGUCAAAUGUGUAGCAUCUGGUACUCGCUGGCAAAGGUGACACAUUUGUUCACUUAAAGGUUUUUUAAAAUAUAAUGUAUUCUAUCUGCGUGUUUGGUUAUACACGUUCACUUCAUAACCUUGACUGCAGUGAGGUGAUCAAGGGAUUAGUCUUCAAGAAGAACACUGCUCAUAAGCACAUGCCGACCAGUUGUCACAAUCCUAGGCUGCUACUACUGGAAGGAGUCCUGGGGCACUCUGAUGUUGGUUUAUCAUCGUUUAAUUCAAUGAAUCAGGUUGGUCCUUUCAUAUACAUAUGCACAUUGAAUUGUUUAUAGUAAACGCCGUUUAUUUUUGUUGGAUAGAAGAUUAAGACAUCUGUUCCGUGCCUUUAACAAUUAGGAAAAGGACCAUCUGGAGAGGACUAUAAGUAAGGUGAUUGAUAUAUGCAGUCCCAAUGUUAUCAUGGUUGAGAAAACUGUUUCACGAGACAUACAAGAACUUCUAUUAAGACAAGGGUGUACACUAAUUCUUGAUAUGAAGCUCAGCCGGUUGCAAAGAAUUGCACGCUGUACGGGUUCUCCUAUAAUAUCAUUUCCAGAAGUUCUGGAUAAACCGAAGCUGAAGCAGUGUGACUACUUCCAUAUUGAAAAAUUCAUUGAAGAACACAACGAUGCCAGUGAAGGUGGGAAAAGACUGUCUAAAACAUUAAUGUUCUUGGAAGGAUUUCCCAGGCCAUUGGGUUGCACGGUAUGUCUACCUAACUAGUAUUACAUGUAUGAUGCAUUUUAUACAUUUUCAGUUCCAUUCUUAUUUUUUCCCUAAGAUUGUUUAUUUUCCUCCAAAAGCAAAAUAAAUAAACUAUGCCACGGAGUAUUUUUCCUAUGUCUUUUCUUCCCUGAAAUCUCCCCAACCAAAGCAUCCCUUUGUAUGGAAGUGAAAUCCAUAACCAGAAGUUGUUCCAGCUUACUGUGGACAUGUCUAUUACUUCGACCAGUUAUUACUUCUUAAUAGCUGGCUUGUAGACUGUAAUUAAACAUCUUCUCUAUUCGAGUGGUGUGUGGCCAUAAAAUUUUACGGUUUGACUAAUAAGGCAGAGAACCAAGGUGAUUACAACUUGGCAGGAGCUAGAUACACUUAUGGUGCUUUAAAGUAACAAACCUGGUUUUGUUUGUGGUGAGAUCCAUAGUAGUGGUAUGUGCUUUUAUCAAUUAUUACGAUGAGUGAAUACCAAUUGAUAGUGAUAUAUUCCUGCAUAUUAGUUACAUUCCACUGAACAAAUAGUAAGUGACAGACCAAAUUGUGUUUCAUGGAUUGUUAAAUUAUCUGAGUGACAAUGGUUCCUUUCUCAUCCAGAUACUGCUCCGUGGAGCAAAUACUGAAGAAUUGAAGAAAGUCAAGCAAGUCAUGCACUACACAGUCUUUGCAGCAUACCACUUGAUCCUCGAAACGUCUUUCUUUGAAGAUCAGCGGGUAUUCUUAAAUGAUAAAAAUGUUUCCAAAGAAAAUUAUGUCACCGCUAUGGUAGGGCCUUCAGCAAUUGGUGAUGAUACGGCUGUUCUGGGUUGUGCCAUCCCUCCUUCACAUGAUGAUUCUCCAGCACUUAAAUUAUACCAUGCCACUUCUAAUAUCUAUGCGGAUGGGAAGAAAUCUCUCAGUUAUACAAAUGUAGAUGCUCCAGUUUCAAUAACAAACAGCUCUUUGGAUGAACUUGGAGAAGGUGCAAAUGUCCGGCAUAGCUCAACAUCACCCCUUCACACUGGAAGGCUACCACCACCAGUAUCAGGACCAUUAAGAAAAUUUGCUGACAAGUUACAUCGUCAUAAUAUUUAUUUACCUGUCACAUCAUUCCAAGAAACAACUGAUAAUAAAAUAGAAGGCAGGGUUGAAUCUAGGAAAGAGAUGGUUAGUAAUGGAUUUCAUGUUGGGUCAAAGGUGGAAGAGUCUGCAGCUUCCAGUGAAAUUUUGGAUGACACGAAAGAUCUCUUAAAACAAGAAAGGAUCCAAGAAGUAAUGCCAUCAGGUUCUUCUGGGCAUGGCAAACAUGAGGAAUCAUCCGCUAUGGCUGAAGAUGGGGAACAUCACAGCACCAGUAUCAUCAGCAAUGGGAACAUUUCUAACGAAGAUCAAGCCGAUGAUGCACUUGAUUCUGACAGUAUACUGAUUUUGAUGUCUAGCCAAUGCAUCACAAAGCAGAUUAUAUGUCUCCCGAGCCAACUGUGCCGUAUAAAAUACUACGGGAACUUUGAUUUGUCCUUGGGGCGAUAUUUGCAAGACAUUUUGCAGAAUCAGGUAACAACAGUUUACCACUUCUUCGUUUGUUCACACAUUGUUCUUAUUUACACUGAAUAUUAUAUUUUUGUGCUAGUAAUGUACAUUUUAUUUCGGCUCCAUUGAUACUCUUUUUUGCGAUGUUAUUUGGCUCACUAAUAUUUAUUCGUACUAGAAAGCAAGCUGCUCAUCUUGUCAAGAGCCUCCAGAGGCUCACAUAUAUUCUUACACUCAUCAAAAUGGGAAUUUGACUGUUCAAUCAAAGAAUUUGGUGUCCCAACAUCGCUUACCUGGCGAAUCCGAAGGAAAAAUAUGGAUGUGGACUAGAUGCUUGAGAUGUGAACAUGAACAUGGGACAUCUAAAUCGACUCCUAGAGUGUUAAUAUCAUCUGAAGCGCGCAAUCUCUCUUUUGGGAAAUUCCUGGAACUCAGUUUUUCAAGUCACUCCGCAGCGAGAAGGCUAUCCAUAUGUGGGCAUUUGGUGAACAGGGACUGCUUGCGUUUUUUUGGGUACGCUCGAUGUACUUUUCACAUCAAACAAAAUUAUUUUUUGGCUGCCUUUAGAUGUAACUAUUUCUUUAAUGAUAAUUUCUUUUUCUUACUGACUUCAGGUUGGGCUCCAAAGUUGCAAUGUUCCGCUACUCCUCAGUAGAAAUUUACACUACCUGCAAACCACCACCCACCCUCCACUUCGACAACCCUAGCAGACAGAAUUGGUUUGAAAAAGAGAGGAUACAUGUAUGUCUUAAUACUCUCUACCAUUACCAUCUCAUAGUUGUCUCCAGUACAUGCAUAGUAAUACUUUUUUUUUUGCACUUUCAAAGAUUCUUGCUAGAGGUAUGAAACUUUUUUCUGAGGUAGCAACCUUGCUACAACUCUUGAAGAAUCAGCAUCAUGAUGUGACAGCAACCAGUUGUGGCACAUUUGACCCUGUUAAGGACUUCUCUGAACUCGAAGAGUUGUUGAUGAAAGAAAAGGCCGAUUUUGAGGUAGGCAUCCUUGUCUUAAUUUCUUUUAGACUGGAACUUUGUAUGCCAAUGAAUUUGUUAUGUUUAAUUUAUAUUUAUGGGUUACUAUCUUUAUUUUUAUGCAGGAUUCAUUAGUAAAGACAAUCAACCAAAAUGGGAGAUCAUCCUCAUCUGUGCAUGAGCUUCUUAAUAUAAAUUGGUCUUACCAGGAUGUUCUACUUGAACUUUAUGUAUGGGACCGUCGGCUCGACGAACUUUCUAUGUGUAAAUCUGCUGGGCAAGGGAGUGUUGGUAAUAGCAAUAAUCCUAGCGGAACUGCAGACAAGAUUUCUGGGGCCAACUACGAGAUUGACAAGAAAAUUGGUGAACUGACGUGUGAUAGAACUAUGACAGCUGUGAGGUCAGAUGGUACCACUGAUUGCACUGAUUGCACAAGUAACAAUAUUCCCAUUGACCAUCAAUCUGGUGAGACCGCAGCACACUUGCUUGAUGAUAGUCAGGGAGCUGGCAACUCUGAACCUUCUUGCAGUGAAGGUAGUAAAGAUGAAGGAUCUCGAUCUCUCAUUGCUCCUGAUCAAGUAGAGGUAGAGAGCACGCCACAAAACCAAAAAGUACCUUCACUUGAAGUUUCAAGUCAUACAGAGGUCCAGGGUAACGGGGUAGUUGCACAUCCAGUUUCCAAGGAACAAGAGCCUUCAAGCACUCUCCAGAAGUUCAGAAGUACUGAUUGGGAUGACAGUGAUAGAUGGAUUUGGAGUUCAUUUUGUGAGUCUCAACUGGCUUACAGGAAGGACAUUCAAAUGGGAUGUUUGGAGAAAUUUUAUCUUGUUAACCAUUACUCCCCAUCUCACCUCUCCCCCUUGUUUGAAAAACAUGAGGAGGUGGACACUCCUCAGUUCACAGUUGGCCCCGGUGGUAAUAUUUUAUGUGUAUUGGAGCAUGAGGUAUCUAGUAUAAUAGCUCGUGCUCUCGCCAUAUCUGAGGAACGUAGGCAGGAUACCAUAGUCGAGAACGAGACGGGGGAGGGCAGGGUGGAGCAUGGUAAAACGAUGGAGAAAUCCUAUAGCUUUUUCUCUGAAGGUUCUUUUAGCUCGUCACCAUGGUCAUCUAUUGGAUCAUUAGAUUCUGAAGCAAGCUUUUCAUCUUCUAUUUCGUCAUAUCCAUCUGACGACCUCUCUGGUUAUGAUACCUUGCCUUUAUUGUCCUUGGUACACCCAGAAAUCACUGUGAACGGAAAAGUAACUCUCAGAGGCAAAUAUUCGGUUACUAGUAUAUAUUCGAACCAAUUCUACCUUCUUCGAAAGAAGUGCUGCCCAUCUGAGCUUGCAUAUAUUACUUCCUUAAGCCGCUGUAAGAAGUGGGACGCUCAAGGUGGAAAGAGUAAGGCUUUAUUUGCAAAGACAUUGGAUGACAGGUUCAUCAUAAAGCAAAUCAAGAAAACAGAGUUUGAGUCCUUCAUAACAUUUGCCCCUGAUUACUUCAAGCAUGCUUACCAUUCUCUAGACACUGGCAGCCAAACUUGCCUUGCCAAAAUAUUAGGAAUCUAUCAGGUAGGUUUUUUUGACAACUGAUUUCUAUUCGAUUUAUUUCCUGACUUCUAUUGGGUUUUCAUAUGACUUGUUGUUUCAGGUCAAGCAAAUAAGGCAUGGCAAAGAGAUCAAAAUGGAUCUGAUGGUGAUGGAAAAUCUCAUGUUUGGGCACAAUAUUUCACGAAUUUAUGACCUUAAAGGUGCUAUUUUUUCACGACACAUCGCCAAAUCAAAUGACCCUGACACUGUUUACUUGGAUCAAAACUAUGUUGAGGACAUGCGUGUAUCUCCGAUCUAUAUUGGUGGAAGAACGAAGCAUCUUUUGCAGCGUGCAAUCUGGAAUGACACAUCAUUCCUCACUGUAUGUAUAAUGCAUAUCCUAUAUCUGCAGAUAAUCAUGUUUUCAAAUAAAUAUAUGUCCUAACAAAAUUAUUGUACUUGCAGUCAGUUAACGUUAUGGACUAUUCUCUGCUUGUGGGAGUGGACAAAGAAAAGAAUGAACUUGUGUUUGGCAUCAUUGAUUAUUUGAGGCAAUAUACUUGGGACAAACAGCUGGAGACAUGGGUCAAGAGUUCUUUGGUUCGAAAAAAUGUUUCACCGACUGUAAUUUCACCCAAGGAUUACAAGAAAAGGUUUAGAAAGUUCAUGGCCAAGUACUUCCUCACAGUUCCGGAUACUUGGAGUCCCGAGAAUUCUUCUGGGCCAUACAAAUCCUUUGGCCAUAGCAAUAGCAAGUUGGUAGAAGCCGAUAAUGAUGACAACCUGCUUCAGCAUCCAAUUGAAGCUGAGGCAUGUGUCUAGUUCUGUUCAGGCUGGCAUGUGUCUAGGCUAUUCAGGACUCCUCUGACAGUGCUGUUGAAGCCUAUCCAGUCGUCGUCGUUGUUGUUUCUUUGGCUUGUUUUCGCUUUGUAAAAUUGUGUACAUAUGAGGGCCUCACAAUUGACCUUUCCAGAAGUUUGCACCUUUUAGGCAGAUUACUGGGCAAGUGAGGCCCACAGUACAUGUACCUAUACAAAUGUAAAUUGUUGAUUUCACAAUUAUUAUAGUGAAAUUUACAAAAUUGGUAUGAUUUUUUUGGGAUCUACUAGGCUGAAGCCUUUUCUACUUGCUUAAUUAUUUCUUAUAAUGCCUGACACGGCUAACCGUCCAUGUUGGACUUCUGAUCUCUGUUCAAAUUUGAUCAGUUUGAUCCGUAUUUGACUUUCAUUACUCCGCUAUAGUUACAUUCAUGGAAAUGGCCAAUUUAAUGCCUCUUGAUCUUACUGCACACCUUAUGAAGAACAUUUUGUUGUCAGAUGGACAUUGUCUAUUUUGUUGUGUGCACCCAGUCACUACAAUUUUGCAGAUCUGCUGGUAUGAUAUGUACUGCUUACUUUCUUUCAUCAAUCAGUUCCACGUAUUAUUUAAAAUGAGUGAAAUCAAGUUAAACUUGUUUGUUCCAAGUUUGUUCCUUGAAUUUUGUUGUAAUAUGUGUUUAUGCCCCAAUCUCUCUUAUGAUAUCAAGAAACAGAAUAUAAUUUGAUUCCUGUUUGUUUUCAGGAAAUAACUCACUGGGGAGGACACCACUCUUUAUAAGUCCUGCAUCACAUAGUAGCUGCCUGGUGACAUGCCUCAUCUAUGCAGUUGGUCUAUGACUCUAUGUUCUAUACUUUAUUGCUAUAUAACACUUGAUAUUUUAUAUUCUCAGCUUUGACGAGGCAAAUUGUUAGUAGAUCCUAAAAUUAACUAUUUAUUUAAUUUACACAGUACACACUUUGCUGAUAAGGGAUGCUCCAAAGUAAUGCUCCAGUUCCUUUUCUAGAACCACUGGUUAUUUAAAUUGGUGCAUUUUCAGGAGAAUUAUCUAGCAUCCUGUAAUGCAAUUUCUGAUUGAUCAGAUAAUUGAUGGAAAGAACUUUCUGUGUAUUCACUUAGCAGUCUGGCUGAUACUUAACAUCUACUAGUGUGUGCAAUCCAUAGUCUGGACCAUGAACAUCGGCAGGAAGGGAUUCCUGCAAAUGAACAUGUGAGACCUCGGUGAGUUAGUUCAUUUUAAGCUUUCUUAUUUUCUACCCUUGCAAAACUUUGUUGACUAAUCCACAUAACCCUUUGUUGAACUUUAUAGUGCGUAGCACAUUUUUCUGCAGCUAUAAUCUUAUCAUACUAUCUUAUAAAAAUUCCUGAUGAAUGUUAAACAUGUGUUUUUAUCAUUUGGCUGCAUUGGUGGAAUGGUAGAUAGUAACAGUAUACAUUUCCAAGAAAUGUGGUAUUUGAAUAUAGUCCCAUUGAUCUUCCCAAAGAGUUGCAGUGUGUGCGUGCUUCUUUCCGAGAGUCCUAUAUUUGCAUUUAUUUUUCACUGAUUGUUUCAGUGAGUAUGAAACUAUGAAUUCAUAUGCAGUGUCGCUUGUGAAGUUGGCUUUGCAGCAUUUAUCUCAAGACAUUCCUUUUUCCCUGUCAUUUUAUUACUAACGCCGUCCAAACAUAACGAGCACAAUGCAAAACCACCUUCGCCCACUUUUCCAAUUGGAGUUGCUAUUUGUGUCUUAAUACAAUUCUUUUUUUGCUUCCAAAAUGGCACAUAUACUGUUGUUAUAUAUGUGUGUGUUCAUGCUAAACUUUCUAGCUCAUGCCUUGUGAUCAGGAGAUUAUGUGUUGUCACAAUGUGCUUGAGAGACAUUCUUGGGCAUGUCGUGCCACUUGCAUCUUUGUUUUCAUGACUGAUGAAUACACUGGGUUACGUGACAGAUGAACUCAUGUUAGUUUUUCGAGCAGAGUCUACCUCUUGCUCAUUUGCGAGCAGUACUGAUUUGAAUAAAUGAUAGUACAGUACCUCAGAAGUCAGAGCACUGCUUGGAACAGGCGGUAAUUUGCUUCAACUGUAAUCUACACAUAUAGUCACAUCCGCUGAAUCUUACAUAGUUAACUUUUAAACAUGAAUAUAAGAAAUUGUUGACACUUCCUUCCCUAUAGUAGCAAGAGGCAGUAGUCUGCUAUUGUACCAAUCAUCAGUCAAGGAGGUAAUCCACAAGAAUGGGGUUGGCAUGCAUCUCUUUUCUCCUUUUCACUUUUGCAGGAGGGCAUCAAAUACAUUGGCAGUAAGAGUAUGACCAGAGGGAGGACUUUUAGAUCAUUGCAGAGUGGCUCAUCAUGAUUGCGUGGAUUCUAUGCAAGUCUUGUCAUUGAGAGGGAGGUUACAAAAGGAUUGUCUGGAGAAGGUGAUAAUCUGUGUAAUGAUGCUGAUCCUAACAUCACUGAUUCAUAUAGAUUGGCACACCAUAUUUUUUUUGAAAGAGAGAGAUUGGCUCACUAUAUUUUGAAUUCUGGAUUUAGGAUUGUAAUAAGGAAUGAGUUUUCUCUCGUACAUCUUUGAGAUUUCAUUAAUCAUUUUUUUUUGCAGUGCUACUCUCAGUCUGUUUGAAGUUCCCAUUAACUGCCGAUUUUGAACAGUAAGCAUUCAUCCUAGGUGCUAAUUUUAUUACACUGCACUGCAAACUCUUUCAAUAGCUCUUUCAAUAGCUGAAUGCUUUGUAGGAAUAAUGUCGCAUUAGAUUUUUCUCAUUUCAUUUUUGAAUUUUUUUUGUUUAGUAGCUAAUGAUGAAUUGAUCAAAUCUGAAGAGAGAACUGUGGCAUGGCACUGAUGUUUUCUUGGUUGCAGAUCCUGCUUUAGCAAAAAGCAGUUGGUGUCGCCAUUUCAGUAUAAGGGAUUCGAUUUGGUCGAUUUAUGCUCAGCUUUUUCCUGGUACUGGCAGAAGCUGCCUGAACCCCAAAGUAUGGAGCAUGGAUUAUGCUGCUGCUUACCAUCAUUUCUCUACUGUAUAACCCUGUAAAGCAGCUCAAAUCAAUCAAUUUUGCAUUGCAGCAGUUGAGGGCAUUCUCCUUUUUCCUGGAACCGAUGCCUUCGAGUUCAAGGUGAUCAUCAUGUCCCAAUUCCAGAAGGCGAUCUCAUGAUUCUACAACCAAAACGAUGACUGCUGUCGGAGAUCAUAUGGAGAAUCAUGUCAGGUAACUCGUUUUUUUUUUCAAAGCCACACUAAGGUGUGUAUUGUCCCUAAUUCCUUGCCUUGUCAUCUUCUCUAUUUGUAGUAAAAUAAUCAAUCUUUACUCUGCCAGUCGCCAUGGCAACUAGUGGAGUGAUCAAUGAUAAGGAAGGUGAUUAGCCUACCACCAAAGAACAAAAAGAAGACGCAAAAGAUGACAAGCACAAGAGUUCAUUUUAACACCCCUAGUUGCACCCUUUUUGUCUCUGUCCAACAAGCUGCCCACAUCUCCACAGCACUUUUCCAGUUACAGAAAAGGGCAAAGAGUCGCUUCCCUUUUCCAAUGCAGAUUCUUCCUUUCACUAUCAACCAUUAUAUCAUUCAUCCAUGGAAGAAACUCCGCCUAGAUCAAUGCAUUAAAAAUUACUACACAUAUUCUGAUUCUGAUGCUCAUAAUAGGUAGGCCUAAGCACAAACUGCCUGCCAUCACCAUUGCUGCUUAAAGAAGACACGAUGCAAAGAUGAUAGACACACACACUAGCUGGCUAGCUGCUAUGGUAGCUAGAGAGAGUAGCUAGAUUACCCAAUCACAAAAGCAAAAAACACCUACAUUUUUCUUAAAAUUGUUAGCCUAGUUGUACUAUCUACCAUGCCCUGUUUGUUUCUGCUAAUAGCUGCUGCAAACUCCGAUCAGCUUCAGCGAUGGCUGCACAGGUCAGACAGCAUCUUCCUGCCUUCCACAAUCUCAUCAAAGAAGUCAUCCAGUUCGCCGACGACACUCUCCGCACCUGACUGCAGCACCCCAACCCAGCCUUUGAUGAUCUCCACCCUCUCGGCGAUCUCACCGGGGUCGGCAUACCCUGUGGCGAUGACCCUGUCGAACUCUGCCUUGAGGCUCUCGAUGCCGGCCCUGGCCUGCCGGAACUCGUACAUCAUGACGCCAGAGCCAGAGUGCUGCCCGGCUACUGCCUCCAUCUCCUCGGCGACGCGCUGGCGCAGGCGCCCCAUGGAGGAGACGUAGCCAGCACCCGUGGCACGGAACAUGGGCGCACAGCCAAGGUCCGGGAGGCAGGAGACCGUCCCAGAGAUGAGGAUCAUGAGGAGGAAGGAGCUGGCGUUGCGCAGCGCGUAGAGCACGCCCCGGAAACCGUUGAAGGCGUUGAGCUUGAACUCCACGGGCGACCGGUCGUCGAGCAGCAGCGACGCUGGGUCGAUCCUAGCCUCCGCAAGCGCCCGGUUCUCCUGCUCCAGCCCAACAGCCUGCCGCCUUGGCGCGUUGAUCGCACGCAUCACCUGCCAGCCAGUAGGUGUCAAUGAUGUGAUCAGAAUCAGAUAUAUUCAGAUCAAUAGAGGCAGGGGGGGAUCGUCGAUCGGACUGUACCUGACGGGCUGUGUGUGGGUUGGGGCUGCAGAGCCAGUCGUCGAAGGCGGCAUCGAUGCGGGUGGCGGAAGCGCAGUAGGUGUCCAGCGCGGUGGCGCCGGCCUUGACGACCUGGCAGGCCUCCCAUAGCCGGGAGGUCUCGUCCAUGUACUCGUCCAGCCAGCUCUCACCGGGCGGCAGGUGGAGCCGCUGCACCAGGUGGACGAGCUGCGAAUGCAGGGACCGGAGCAGCGCCGCUGCCUGUUGGAGGAACGGCGCCGACACGAACGCGCCCUCCGGCGACGAUGACGAGGCGGCCAGCGUGCCGUGGAGUUCGUCCAGGCCGUGCGCGAUGGAGGAGUAGAAUCCGUUCAUGGCGACUCUAUUUGUUGUAUAACUGGGAGCAGCAGAGCAGAGCAAAGAUCGAGAUGAGAAGAGAGUGUGGUGCAUGGGAGUGGAGGCUCUGCGCUGAGCUGGAACAGAGACUCUCGGUCAGCUUAUAUAGAGGAAGACUAGAAGACUGGACUUAGAGUGAGGGCAGUGAGUUGUACUAUGGGGAAGCAAUGAUGGUUUGUCCGGCGGUCAGGGGGAAGGAUGAUUGGGGACUGGGCUGGGCAGCCAUUGCCAGGACUCCUGUAUGUGCUCCUCCUCUUCAUGACCAUUCUAAUGGCAUUGCCAAUGCUUGAGAGCUAGUCCUACUAGCAUGCAAUGGAAUGCAUGGGAAAAUGUACUUACUCAGCCUAGCUAGCUGCCACAGCCAUUUUAAUUUCCCCAUGAAUAUCCCACCAGUUAAUUUCCCCAUGAAUAUCCCCCCACUCCAGUACUCCUACUCCAAUUCUUGUCUUGAGUUGCAUACUGCUGGUCCAGAUUCAAGGGUAGGGACCAUUUGCCAUUGACAGUGUACUACUGGCGAUUGAUUAUGAAGUUGUUGGUGCUAAUCAAGGACUCACUAGUGCUACUACUACUUGAGCAGACAGCUGUCAUCUGCUGCUGCUGCUGCUUUCCAUAUUCUGAAUCCGGGUGGGAGGGAGGAAAAAGGAGGGGGGCCAAUGUGCCGGGCCUCUGCUGGGAGCACCAUCAAUAAGCAGCAAGGAAGCAAAGAGAAGCAAGCGCUGGCUGCACUGCACUCCCCUGUCUGGCCUUCCCAAUGCACUCAGCCACCUGUUAGUCCAGAAAGGAAACAUUUUUCCUGGAUACAUGAACUCUAUGGAGUAUAUUGACCAUUGCAGCCACUGUGGGUACUUCUUUGCAACAACAUAUAUAUAUAUAUAUAUAUAUAUAUAUAUAUAUAUAUAUAUAUAUAUAUAUAUAUAUAAUAUAUAUAGUAUGGCAGCUAGCUGCAAGCAAAUGUGUUUGUUUUCUUGUUCUUUUUUCUUUUGUGCAGGCCUGAAGAGGAGCUAGCUUCUUCUUCUUCGAGAUGCAUGGGAUGCGUUGCUGCAUGAGCCAAUAGGAGCAGAGGAGUAUGAGGACAAAGUUUCAAAGGUGGCAGGGAGUCCUAGAGAUGUGUCGACAAGGUGAGCUGUACUCUACUGCUUACUUGCCCGUGGAUUAGUGGGGCACUUAAUUUAAUUUGCUUGAAUUGAUGUUAGGAGGAAUGAUGGGUUUCCUUGUACCCGUACAAAUCUCUCAGUCCGCGGCCAACACAACCCCCAUGCUUCCAUGCAAUGCAAUGCCAAUGCAAUGGCUUGGCCGCCUUUUGAGGUCCUUCUCCCUCUCGCCCGGGCCUCCAGUCCGGCAAUCAUGCCCAAUAUAUGCUCUCGUGCCCCCUUCUUCUUCCUCUCCAUUAUGACUACUCCGUUUCUCUAGGGCACACGUCGGGCCCCGCAUGUCGGUCAAGCCCUUGAGAAACUCAUGACAGUCUUAAUUCCAACACACAACUUCUACAAAAAAAAAAUGUUUCUAUUGUGAUGAUACUGUGUAAAUUAAGAAGACUACAAAUUAGUCUGGAUUGACAACAUUUCUAACAUAGUCUAUGUUGCUUGUAAAACAUGCAUGCUUGUAGUAUACUAGUACUGCAUAUAUGCGGUGGCUUCAUUAUAGUAUUAGGAUUGUCUUUUUGGUCCAAUCCAAUUCAAACACCACAGCUUCAUCGGUGCAUGCAAUCCAUCUCGUGGCAAGUGCUAAACCCUUUUAAGAAAUGGAGCUCGUGGGGUUUUGGGAGGAGGCGAGGGGGAUGUGGAUUUGGUUGGGGAAAUCAAAGGGGAUGUGUGUUGUUUCCUUUGCCCUAACCAAGAACAAAGAUUAAUUAAGCUAAAUCUUACUCCAUGAUCCAUGCAUCAGCUAGGAGCUACCUUUGAAAUACUACUACUACUUGGCCAGCCGUGCCGUACAUGCUGCGUGGUUGACCGGUGGGGGUCCAAGCACCACUCAUCGGCCGGCCAUGAAUAUUCUUCUUGUCCUCUUCCUGCUCUCUCUCUCCAGUCCUAUAAUCCAUGCAUUCAUCUCACUAUGUAUAUAUAGGCUCAUUGCAAAUUAAACAGAUCAUAAAAAGCAAAGAUCAUCUGUUUUUUUUAUUUAGAUCAAGACGGUUCGACUCCCAUAAUUGAAUUAGAUGAAAAGACCAUCUGCUAAACGUUUGCCAAACAGAAGAACAUACAGUUCAUAUGCAAAACACUUUUAUUGUCGGAAAAAGCACAUUUUUUUGGUGUGUGUUCUAUCUAAUCAACUCUCUGUGUCUUAUGUGUUAUAUACUAUCUAAGUAAACUGUUUCCUGCAAAUUUUUCCGUGGCGCGGUCUCUAUUCCGCAUCCGCAAUAUAUCCUCUCAAUUUCUUCACAUAUAAAUUUCCAUGAAUUAAUUUGGUUUUCAUAGCAACGAGAUCCAAAAGGGCAUUAAUUAUCUGCCUGCCUGCCACAGUAAUUUUACUUCUUGGAUAUACACACAUAUAUAGUACACUUACUAUUGGCGACCUUGUCCUGGACGCAUAACUCCAUUGUUUGCUCGAACUUGUAAAACAGGUGGUCACGGAUAUAUCUACGUGGCACACGUAUGCAUGUCUAGUCCAAAUUAGCAUAUGGGUUGGCGGCAACAGCAUGCAUACAUGAAAGCAGCAACGGCUAGCUUUUAAUUUAGCAUGUCUGGUCAGUCACACACACACACACACACACACACACACACUAAUUUUCUCUCUUCUUUUUUCAAAAUUUGUACAGACAUUAUUAUGAAAAUUAGCAGUACUACACUGCCAGUACAGAGUACUACUGCUACUGCUAGGUCUCAUGAUCAAAGUUGCUAGCUUAGCUAGGUGUGCUGUAGAGCUGUAGGAGUGUAGUAGUAGCUUGCAAUGGUGUGGCUGCUGGCUUGACCAGAACUUUGAAAAAUGCAUGCAAUGCAUCUAUGCUUGGACAGCAGCAGUCUACUACUACAAGUACUUAUCACUCUACAUACAGUACACAGAACAGAGAUCAAAGUUGCUGCUGCUGUUGUUCUUCUGAAGCAGCAGCCAUGCAUGCAUAAGGCUGACAGACGGUGGUGUUCUGUAUUAUAGCGUAGCUGGUUCUCGUUUGAUUACUGCUGUCAAGAGAACCCCGUGCGAUGCUACGGAACAACGGAAAGUGUAUCAAGCACGAGCCGGUGGAGGCGAAGUCUGGACAUUGAUCAACCGGCGCUCCCCUUUGAGUUGAGAUCUGCAGGCGCCUCCUCAGCCUCGUCAACGACGGUGUGGUUCUCGCUUCCCAGCAGGGGUGGAGAUCUCCAGCGGGCUUCUGCUUCCCUGUCUCCGUCACGCCUUGUAUCCUCGAUGGGGGUCUCUGGGUCGGUGGUCAGGGGCCGGACGAAAUCCCUGCCCGGCUGCGUCCGGUGCCAACGACGGCGACGCCUACGGGCGCCUUUACCUCCUUGGAGGCGUGGUCGUGGCCCCUGACCAUUCCUUCUCCAUCCUCGGGCUCCAGGGGAAACCCUUGGUUCGGUUUGCCAUGGCUCCGAAUCAGGCAGCAGCAGCGACACCUUGGCAUCGUAUCCUCCUUGGAGGCACUGCUUUGGUAGCCCGUGGGAGUUCGAGUGUCGUGGCAUGAGAUGGCAGCCUCUCUAUUCUUGGCGGCGAGGCUUGGUGGUAGCGCGAAGCCGGUGUUGAUCCUCUGCUCUGGGCGUUGGACUUCAAGGCGCGAUGUUCGUCACUAUCGGUUCCCUAGAUGAUGCAUCCUUCCCAAUUCAGUCUGGUCCAUUCCUCUACUUGCCGACCGGGGCUUGAUCUGCUUCCAGAUUGGCCUCCCUUCUUAGGCGUAUUGUUGGGGGUUGGCCAGGGUGGUCUUGGUGUCAUGGUCGCAGAUUUGGGUGUCCUGCAGCUAUCGUGAAGCGGCCUUCAAGGUCUUGUGCUCUGCCUUCUUUGCCCUAGGGCUGGAGGUGGGCAAGGCGAGUCUCAUGUCAUUGUGGUUUGAAGCUUGGUGGUGUCUCUUUAACCUGCUCUGACCCCAAGUUGGCUCAAGAUCUGUUGGCUGUAGGUCUAGGCUAGCUAGGGCUCCGUCUUAGGUCGUCCGGAGAGGACGGUCAUGUUUUUUCUUGCUUGGCCUCGCCGUUGGCGGGUGCGGUGCAUAUGUUGUAAAUCUUGUAACUUUUGGUUACUCACGCUUCUUUGCGCUUUCUUCUUAAUGAAAAUGACAUGCUUCCAGGCGUGUUCGAGAAAAAAAAAUUAGAGUCUGUUUUGAGGAACAAAUUGGCAGUUAAAUGCUUGAAGUUCAGUUCAGUUUGCUGCUGGAAUAAAGAAGAAACAACAAUUUUGAAUUGCGAUGAGAUCUAUCGAAGAACACAGCUAGCUCAUAUAUAAUGCUCUCCAUGGAAUUUGGGGUGAAAAAGGGAAGGAAAGAAGAGGAAAGCUGAAAAGAGGCAACUAAAGGAGAUGCUAGUCAAGUGUUCUCCAAAUUUUGUGUUGAAUGGCGGCUAUAUUCAUGAGUAGCAGCAAGUAGCCUAACUAGUCAAGUGUCCUUGCUGUGAUGAAUUGAAGCAGGCAGGGCAGAGCAGAGCUGUGUGUCCUCCUAGAAGCUAUAGCUAGACCUGAAGAAAGUGCAUAUCCUCCUCUAUCACUUUUCUCACCGCCAAGUUGUAAAGGGGAGAAAGACAUGCAUGGAAACUGCAAAGUUGCCUCGCUUUUACAAACCAUUGCCUUUUUGCAGGAUCUGAUCUCUAUUUCCUUUCCUGUUACCUCUCCAUGCAGCUGCUAUGCUGCUAUAGUAGCGUAUGAUCUUGGCCAUCCAUGCAUUUCUCCGUCUUGUAGCUCGGCUCGGCUGCCUAAUUGCUGGCUAUGUUGGUUGCUUUCUGGAGACAGAGAGGGAGAAUAUGCUCCAUGUUGUCCAAAAGGGAAACGCAAAAUCAAUUGCAUCCACGGUGGUUCGUUUCUUUCCUUCUCCACACUGUCUUUCUGUCUUCUUUUCUUUCUCUCUUACGUUUGUAUUUCUGAAUGAAUUGGUUGUGGUUUUACAUGUAUGUUGAUUUUUGUUUUAAAGCGUUUGCACCAACAUAUAAUACAGGCAGUUUUUUUUACAGUGCAAGAAAAGGAGAAGGACAGAAAUGAAGGGAAGCUGUAUAACUUUAACACAGCUGCUAUACAACUAUACAAGAGAAGAAGCAGAGACUCUGACAUUGAACUUGAUCAUGGGCCAUUUGGAAUAUGCUCUGACAUGGAGGUGGUAAACAAGCUCAAUCGGUUUAUCAAAAACCAGCAAGGUACAAGCAAGGGUCCAGACACUGAAGAACUGAACAAAAAGCAAGAUAAACCAGGCGAGAGAACCGCCCAGCAAAGUUGCAGACGCUAAACUAUCAGAACAACUACAAGAGUCACAAAACAUCACGAUAAGAAACAGAAAGGCUCAUUUGUGUACUAAGAUGAUAUAACUUUGCAAUAAAAUUGGCUGUGCGCAUCGUUUCAUCGUUUCGAUGCAGAGGCCGGGAAGAACCCCUUUUCGAAAAAAAACGGUUCGUCCUUUUCCAAUGAGCGUUCUCUAGCAUGAAUUCGAAUGUAAUUCGUGCACGUAAAUGAGUGGAAAAAAGAAUGCUGUUGCAAGGGGUUGGAUCAUACUGUCUAGGAGAUCUUAUCUAAUGACAUACAAACAGGAGGCGCUCGUGGCCUAAUGGAUAAGGCAUUUGACUUCUAAUCAAAGGAUUGUGGGUUCGAGUCCCACCGAGCGUGUUCUUUUUUCUUAAAUUUUUUUCAUUCAUUAUGCUUCCCAUUGAAACUUAUUUUCUUCAGCGCAUGCUAUUCAUAAGUCGUCUAAAAAGGAAUUUUUUUUUGUGCCAAAUUUUAGCAGUAAUCUUGUUGUAGCAUCGGCAACCCCAAUCAUGAAAAUAUAAAUUCAUAGAAGUGCCAGCAUAAGAUAAGAUGCUAUUAAUUUGUCCAGCAACUGAACACAGACGCUAGAAAAAUUCAGAUCAGGAUUCCAAGAACAAUAAACUGGGUGCAGCGACCAGCAUUAAAGCUUAAAGCAAUAGGGAUUGUAAUCCAGGGGUCAUCAAACAUAGUAGCAUUGUCACUGACACCAAAAAGAAUGUAUAUAUGCUGGAGCCUUUCUCUAUGCCAAAAUGCUGUUUAUUAAUUGUCUCUAUGAUUGUCAACAGCUAGGGACUAUGCAUUGUAUUGCUUCCUAGAUCUUCUCUUGCUUUUCGCCUACGAGGGGGAGCAUCUCCAUCCGGCUUCUCGGGGUCCGCGGGCUCAGGGUGGCGCCUUGCUGGGAGAUGAGAUGCCUCACGUAGCCGUAGAAGGUGCAGCCGACGAGCGUGAUCCCGCACCCGACCGCGUUCAUGGCGGAGAUCGGGUUCCGGAAGAUCAUCCAGGAGAUAAGCACCGCAGCAGCUACCUACACAGACCCAUCAUGGUACCAUCAGUUUCCCAAUGCUGAACUUUGUUUGUUGGACUGAAGAAGCAGAGUGAAGAGGAAUGGGGAUAUCAGUGCUCUCACCUUGAGGUUGCCGGCCACGUUGAAGGUCACGGCGGUCGUCGAAUGGAUGACGUAGAAGAUGGAGAAGUUGAGGCAGAAGGCGAGAAUUCCUGAGGUGAUUAUGAUGAUCAGUGCAGGGACAGUUGACUCGUAUGUGUAUAGCCAGUUGAUCACGCCGCCCCCUUCGAGUACAAUCGCUGGUACUGACAGUAUCAUGGUGGCAAAGGGUGCCAUGUAGUACACCGUGUUAAUGCUGCAGAGAGAAAAAAGGAACAGAAAACACAGGUAACCAAGAGGAAAAAUAUGCAAUAUCGUAAUUGAUCGUGUAGGUACUAUGAAAAUAUGAAGAAAUUCUACAUAGCAUGAUGACAACAGAAGCGCUAUUACAUUAUCCAUGAAUAACUCUGUUAAGAACUAUUGUGAAUUAUCAGAUGACAAGAACUACUUCCCCUUUUAUUUUUACUUUUUCUUGUUGUGAAGCUCAAACAGAUGCUAUAAGAUCAUUUCCUCUGUAAACUGACUGGAUCACUGUUUACCUGUCAAAUUUGUAUCCAUGGAGUAGGGAUUCUGCCAAGAUGGUCUUUGUAGACGUGGCGAGGCAGCCAACCAUGGCGGCACAAAAACCAAACAUGUUGAAGCUAAGCUCAGUUACUGAAGUCAAGAGGAUUCCCCCCACAAUAGGAACCAAUGAAGCCCAUAUGCGCCACUCAAAGUAUUUCCUCCAGACCAACCACUGCAGGAUAACUGUUCUACAACGAAUCAGAAAAUGACGCAACAGCAAGUGCGAAAAAGGCGUCGUCCUCGAAGAUGAACAAAUCAGAGAACCUGUCGUUGCAGGAGUGAAGGAUUUGAUAGUCUGCAUGAAGGAGACUGGGAUGUACCGCAGGCUGACAUUUCCCAGCACGAUGUUUAUGCAGAACACAAAUGACAUGGGGAAUAUCCUUUUCCAGCGAUCCUCGGGGGCAACCUCGAUCAGCGGUUUUAUCUUGAGCAUUUUGAUUGCGAUGUAAGCUCCGAUGGAAGAGCAUAUGAAGUGGACGCACGACACGGUCAGAGGAAAUUUGAACUCCAGUUUCUGCAUCCCAAGAAAAAAAAAAUCAAGUUCAUGCUUUUCUGCUGAGGAGGCUGCAAUAGUGCCACUGCCAUGAACUAAUUGUCAGUUUAAACUUGAAAGCAAAAAAAUGUUCAUUCCAAGAGAAAGAUGGUGGCAGAAGCCCAUGAGAAACAUCAGUCAUAUCGACUCUUCUACAUGUCAUUUGCGAUUAAGUAUGUUCUCAAAUAUUAUGGUACUAGUCCACAAAAACAUAUUAGCACAUAAUCAAUGUUAACUCCGAAGUCUGAACCUUGGGACAUUUUUCAGCUCACUAACGAAAUGGCUCCCAUCUCCAAUCCAUUUUGCGGAUUGUAAUCUACAUUAAAACCAAUAAUUACCAUCCCAAAUAUUUCCAAUCCUUCAUGUUUCUGAUUCUUCUUCCCACAAAUAUCUUCGUCUUAACUCCAAACCUAAUCCUUUUGUGGAGAAACCUAAUUCCAACAAUUUACAGCCAUGAAAAAGGACAAUCCCUUCAUAUUCCUAACAACAUGAUAAAUCAAAAGCCAGCUAAUCUGCUCCCCUGAUUGCGCAGAUCAACCCAUAAACAUGAACAAAUCCUCCGGAAGACGAGGAAAUCGAGAAUAUAUAUUGAAAGAAAAGUUGUAAGCAGAAUGGGACGGAGGGAGAAGAGCGGCCGCGAGACGGACCUGGAAGAUCCAUUUGUUCAUGAUGAUGACGGUGACGUUGAAGCACCACCAUUGGAGGAUGGCCAGCACCGCCCUCACCGUCGCCACGUUCCCCAUCUUCCCUUCCUCCAUAUGCAGCGCACAAAAACAACAAAGAUCCCCUGGAUUCAAUUCCAAUCCCACUAAAAAAGAAACGCCUUUAAUUUCUUCCAGCCGGAGUCCAGGAGAGAAGAAAAAGGCAGAAAGAGACAGAUGCUGGAACGGCUGGCGUAUUUAUGUGUAAUUAAUCAGUGGAAAACUCCUCUUGAUGAUCCAUUUGUGGAAGGCAGCAGGCUGGCUUCUAGAAGACCAUGGUGGUUCUUCUAGAAGGUUCCAGAAGCCGUCAAGGCGUCAGGAGAAGAGGAGGAGGAGGAGCUAGAGGGGUUUCGCUUUCGGUCGUAGGAUUUGCAGGUUGUGGUUUUUAGGUUGAGAGUUCGAUUGGUGUGAUUCUUGCCUCUCAUAAUACGUGUUGCCACUCUUCUUCUUCUUCUUCUUCUUCUUCCUCCUUCUUCUUCUUCUUCUUCUUCUCUUCUUGUAUACGUCAGCCUAGCCAGCUCAGGCUUGGACACGUGUCACGUGGGACCGUCUCAGCCGAGCUUGGACACGUGUCAUUUAAAAACUGUUUAAUGGGUCGACAUAUGGGCCUCUCUAUGAGACUCCCCUGGGACCUCCAACCAAUCCCUGCAUCUGCACAGAACACACCAUUCUUCUGAUGAAAUCAACAGCAUUUCAAGCUCAGCUCACCCGUAGAAAAGCCAGCUUGCAGCAGCCUUCUUCCCCUUCACCACCAACAAUUAUUUUACAUUCCCAAUCACAAAUCGAUAACAGAAAGCACAAACAAGUAGCUAGUCAAACAUUGUUCUAAAAUAUAUGUUCUUCAUCAUCAUAGAUCAGAGGGAUAAAAACAACAGGUGAUGAAGCACAAAACGUUGUAAACAAAACAGCAUCAUUCGUUGCUUACAGCAAACACCGAAUUAACCUCCCUUCUCCACACAGAAAGGGAAACAUCAAAUGGAGUAAUAACGUUCCAUGCAGAAACAGCCAACAUAAACAGUCUUCAACAGGUAAGACUUGUCCCUGUAAAUGUCAACUGCACAACUGACUGGUUGAUUCAACCAGUCAUGUCAGGGUACUGUAUAUGGCCCCUUCAAAGAGGGGGCCGCCAAAAGGAUCAUCCUUUUUCUUCUUUGAAUGUAAGCUUGGCCAAGCAAAAUGUUGCGGAAGAUAUUCUGCUUAUUACGUCUCUUUGCCACCAACUAGCUAAGAAUCCGACUGACUGGCAUGCUUCAUGUUCUUAUGUCUCUUCAGGACAGACAACUCGUACUUUUGCAUCCCUUCCCUCGCCCUCCGUAGACUGCACGACGGGCAAUACCACUGGCCUUUCGGGAUGCAGGUGCGCUUCGGCGUCAUGCAGUAUAUGUGAUAAGCUUCGUCACAGCCGUCGCACAAGGCGAUAUCUUUGUCAUCCUUAUUCUUGAAGCAGCAUCUGCAGAGACAGGACGGGCAGUACCAGCAUCCGAGGUUUUUCUGCUUCUCAGACGCGAUCUGGCUUUCUCUGAGGCAUCGGAUGUGAUAGAAUUUGUAAGAGCAGUAAGGAUGACCACAUACCAAGAAUCGCCUGUCGUCGUCUUCGCAUGUGCCGCAGUGUUUGCACAGCUUUGCAAGGGCAGUUGUGCACAGGUCUGGCUCGUUGUCUUCCACCACGCAUGGCACGGAGCUCCCCUCUCUUUCAUCAGCUAACUCCAUUCCACUACCAAUUUCAGGCGGUUCUAUUUUCUCAAGGACUUCAAGCCUGGCACACAGAGGACAACCAACAUGCAAACUGUUCUUGUGAACAUUUUUCAUGAUGUCUGCAGCUGACCCCUUCCCCUUAUUGCUGCAGGCCGGGCAGUGCCAGGUUGCUGGGAUCUGUUUCAUAGCAGGAUGGAGUCGCUUGACACAGUCAAAGUGGUACGUGCUGUCACAUCCAUCACAGAUAAGUCUUUUUUCUUCUUCUGCACCGUCUCCACAUUGCUUGCAAGUGCAAAUUCGACGAAGUCCACCUGUCUCGGUUCGCUUUGGAAUUGUAGAAUGACCAGAAUCACAUGGGGAGAACUGCACGGUGGUAGUCGAACCCUUUGGGAUUUUGUGGACGACACCAACCAAGCUUGUUUCCUGGUGAAGAAUGCAAUUAGUAAAAGGUGUUAAUAGAGUGCAACAACAACAAAAAAUGACCAGCAGACUGUCUCCAAACACACCAAUUACCUCUAUCCGGCGCUCAGCAGCAUCCUCUGCUUCAGAAACUCCAGAAGUCUAUAAAGAAUAUAUCGUAAGCAAUGUGCAGUACCAGCAUAAAAGCCAACAAGUUAAAGACUCCACAAUAGCUUGAAGCAUGGUCGUGGAGAAAAUAACUACAAAUUUACCUGCUUCUGAUAAGAAGCUCGUGAAAUGAUUGGAAGAUUGCUUGCUAGACAUGUCAUCUCCCGGCCAACUCGUUCAAACUUCUCCCAUGUCUACAUCAGAAACAAAUAUCCAUACAGAUACAUGAAUAUGAUGACACUUUACUCAGAAUAUUGUUUGCCUGAAUGUUAUGCAACUUCAGGUGAAACAACAAUAGCAAGCAAGCAGUUUCAUUGAGCACUGCUCCUAUACUAGCUACAACAUGGAAUGUGCUACUUAGAAAACAUGAUUCAUCCUCCCUUGGGAGUCUCCUGGUUGGAUGAUUCAAACUGUUUGGAAGGCCAAGGCAGCUAAUGUGCAAUCAAAUGGUGCAAACAUAGGAACUAGUUUCAGAACAACAGUGUAUAAAGGGCUUUCUCUACUCUGCCAAGUAAAGUGAAGUUUAUGUAUCUAUACUAGAUAAAGCUCAAGAAUAAACAAGAAAGCAGUUAUUUUUUCCGAUGAUUGAGUAAAAUGGAGAUAAAGCUACCUGCUGGAUAUCUUUGUUGAACAACGCCGGAUUCUGUGCAUAACUUCCGUUUCUCAUGUUGGCGUCAAUUCUCCCCAAAUCAAUGACCUCAUGAACAUUAUUCACAUGGAAAGUUUCAACUAGCAGAUCACACAGCAGGGCAAAUUUCUCAGAGACUAAAAUGUCAAGGAGAGCACUGUUGCACAUUGCUGUGUUGGCAUCCAAAGAUGCUGCAGUUGCAUCUUUUAACGCAACAAAGGAACAAAUCUCUUUCGCAUCCGCCAGCCCAGUAGGAUGCUCAUCUGACGAAUCUUGGGCCUUCCCAAGGUCACCCUGGUAAUCACAGAAGUUCACCGUCAGUUUCAUAUCACAGUAUAACAAGGUUGCUCUUUUUAUUAAAUAGAUAUGAGAAAAGCAAAGAAGAUGAUGACUGACUUGUUGUUCAGAUUGGCAGCGGUUGUAUCUGAGAGCGUCACAGAUGCAGCUGUGAAUCCCACCGCCCUUAUUUAUACCUGGGGCUUGCAGGUAGCCCUCCAAUGUGUUCUUCCAAGUAAUCCAAUGCCUGGCCAGCAUUGGGUGCCCAUCUUGGCGAGAAUUGCCACCGUACAGCAUCAUGGCGGCACUAGACUGCACGGAAAUAAAGCAACCAAGCACAUUGGACACGGUUCGGUUAUGUAUUACAGUAUAAAAUAGGCAUCUCAGGAGUCAGGAGACAGAAUUCCUAGGAACAAGUAGCAGGAGCCGAGAUUCAGAGCAAUUCGAAAGAACAGAGUGAGCAAAUCUAGCCGCGUGAAAUGAAAUCUUGGCUGGAGUGCUUAUGGCACCAGGAAGCCAGAGAUGUCCCAGUUGCAACAGCGGAACACGGCGGCGGGCGGGCGGGGGGAAGAAAGAAUGGAAGACGGGGAGAGCAGGGGUUAGAUGCGAAAGCUUGGCUCACCUGUCCGGGGUCGGAGCUGGCGCCGCCGUCGGCGCGGGAGGCGGCGCGGCGGCGCUUGCGCGUGUAAGUGAGGACGCCGCCGCCGCUGCUUCCGCCGGGGGUCUCCGGGGCGCGGCGCUUGGGCGGGACCGGCGGCCGGCUGGCGCCGUCCUGGGAGGCGGACAUCUUGGCUCCCGUCCGGCGAGGCUACAGCAUGUGUUUUCCCCGGCGAAGAGCGGGGCCUAGACUGGGAACUCAGCGGGAGCGCAGCCGCGGCGGGGAGGACGGCCGAGGGGGCUGGUUUCUAGGGUUUGCGGAGGGGCGGUUUGCUGGGGAAGGAUUUGGGGAUUUGUGUGGGGAGCGAGGAGCGGGAGGAAGGAAGAAGAAGAGAUUUUGCGAAACGGAAACGGGGAAAGAAACGGAAACGCGGACGGACAGGCUGUGUGUGUGCUCGCCGUCACGGCUGCCUGCUUUCAACUCUCUCUCUUCCGUCUCCACCAAUUCAAAGUGCUCACGAAAUUGGCAGCGGACGUUCGUUUGGUAUGCUUAGGGGGCGACAUCCCCGGUGAGGAGAUAUACGGUGGAGGAUGAGGCGUUGGGUCGGUAGGCUUAGGGGUCCACGUCUCCGGUGAGGUUUGGUAGGAGGAGAUAUACGGCGGAGGGUUGGGUCGGCAUGCUUAGGGGGUGACAUCUUCGGCGUUGUUGGGGUAGUAGGAGGAGAAGGAAAGGGGGAAGGGGGAGGACGGCUGAUCGUGGUGACGGUGAGGUUGUAUGUAUAGGUGGCCAACUAAGCGGAAGGAUUCGAUUUUCGUUGGUGAGGAAAUGUCUUCCCGUGGCUGUGUAAGGAAGGAGAGGCCGUGUCAAUAGGAAAUGAGCGAGAAGAGGGGCAGGAGGAAGGAGAGGCGGCUGCAAGAGGGGAGGAGCGACGAGAGGCAGACAGGGAGAAAACCCUAAUAAGGCAACAGCUGUAGGGCUAAAUGGGCUAUAGUCCAUAGUUGGGUUGUGCUUUCGCUCUCUUCUUUUUUUCCUCAUGUUCCCCGUUGUUAUCCCAGGCCUUAAUCGCUCUCUUAUUUUUUUUUCCUUGUUGGCCCGUUCGGGCAGCCCAAGCACUGUAUACGCGAGUUGGGCACCGGGUGGAAACAAAAUGUCAUCCACUGCCCAAUGCCUUCCCAAACCUUAUAGGUCACUACGUAUUCAACACAAGUAAAGAACUUCGUACCAAACAUUCAUUUGGUAAUGCUUACGGACGAUCUCUUCUAGGAGGAUAUGUGCGGGACAGGAGAUGUCGAAGAGAAGGUAAGAUGGGAAGACAAAGGACCGCUGCCCUUGACAACGCGUUUGUACGUGUCAAACAGUAUUGAAACAAGUAGAUAACUUUGCACCAAACUCUUAGCUCGGUAAUGCUUAGAUGGCGAUGUCUUUUGUGCCGCUUCGGUAGGAGGAAAUGUGUGUAGAAGAGAAACCGAGGAGGAAGAAAAUAAGGGGAAGGAACGCAUGCAGCUGACCUUAACAAUGGCGAAGUCGAACGAAUCACUUGGUGUGGCCACAAGACGACGGCGUGGUCGAAUGGAGUGGCUGAUCCAAGCGGGCGGUGCCCCCACUUGACCACGGGACAACGCCGAUGGCUUGCGGGACGACGACGAUGUUAGAUCUAAGAAACGGUGUGGCGGCGGAUCUGAGAAGAAAGAGGCGGAGGGGAAAAGAGGGUUUGGGAGACUAACCAUACGUGGCUAUAAAUACAAUCGAUGAUGUCCUGGGAAAACAUGAGGCGCAAUUGCGGAGGCAAAUAAAUGUACUACAUAAAUGAGCCAAUUUUGUGAGGAAAUUUCUCUCUUUCAUAUCAGAAAGUCUGUAUGUACGACGAUUUCGUGUGAUCUACUCGCCGAUCCAUAAUAAAUGAGCGACACUUCUUAUGGAUCUGAGGGAGUACUAAAUUUCCUCAAGCCCAAGCCCAAGCCCAGAUGGCAAUGCUAGUAGUUUGUCUUUCAUAUAGCUUUGCUAGGCCAUCUGUAUACACGCUGAAAAAAAAAAUUGCAGGCCAUGCCAGCCAGCCUCACAAAGUCAGGUGACUUAAGUCAGAGAAUACUGGCUGGUGUCAGAUGGUAGCUAAUUCCAGUUAAAUGUUGUCAAUUUUCAAAGCAGAAGCAUGAAACUACAAAAAAUAGUGGCAAUACAGAUAUGCGUAUAGAAUAUUGAUUUGCUAUCUUUCUUUCUUUUUGCAAGGAAAGUGCCAUUCCCUUGCCUGAGGAUACUAUAUUUACCACUGCCGCGUCGUUUCUCCCCUCGGCGGCAGUGAGACAUCAUAUCAGAAGGCGCUGGAGACUACAUAGCCUGCCAACGAAGAACAUCACACAGCAUGAUCCAGCAACGGGCCGCUCGCUUUGCCUCUAAAUGAGGUUGUCAUCCCUUCGCCAAGCCUUUUACCUGAACAUGGUGUGCUCAUCCCGUUAGAUGAAGACCUCAAUCAAAUUGUGAACUGGACAGAUAAGAUGUUGGAUGAUGCAAGAUAUGACAAUUUUGAUGUGAAAAGGAAAGACCAAAUACUGGCAAGAUCUCUAUACGUGAUAUCAUAAUAGUCAAUAGAAGAUCAGCAUGAGUGGAAUCACAUAAGUAAUGUCAUAAAACUUAUCAUCAGGGCUUACUCUCUAUCAAGUCAAAAAAGGAAAAUUUGCAGUGGCUGGUAUAGUUUAAAACAUGGUGAAAAGGAAAAAUUGCAGCAGCGAGGUGCUAUGUAUUAGAGCUCUUUUACGGUACCCCGGAAUUAAUAUUGGCCAUCCAUUCACCCCAAUCUAAUGGCUAUUGUUAUCGGGUACUCCACCGAUGGUUCUCUGGAGUACUACCUCGAAAAGGCACGGAGUACCUUGUUACAAGGGGUAAAAUAGUAAUCAGAGACUUUCUUAUUUCUCAUUAGGGGCAAUCUCUGAGUUUUUCCUCGCAAUCAACAUGAAAACAUUCCCCGUGUGAAAAAAUUAUAACCCGAUGAACCCUAAUUCUAAACAGGUGAGACCAUCAUCCAUAGAUUCAAUCGUAGGUCUAAAAUAAAUCAAUGGUAGAGAUGUAUAAUUGAUCCAAGAAUCCACUAGGAGGCUGCACAAUUGAUCAAUCCAUACGUGCUGUCGCUGCUGUGAUCCAAGAAUCCACGAGGAGUCUGCACAAUUGAUUGAUCCAUACAUGUUGUCCUUGCUGUGAACAGCGCCAUCAGAAUCCCGGACAGCGCUGUGCAGCCUGUAGCGGGUGAGCGGCGCGUGCGAUCAAGAAUAAAAGUGAACCAUCGACGGCGGGCAGAUCUGGCGGCUAGACAGCGGCGUGACCGACGGGGGCUUGAUCGUUCGUCGCCUCGUCGGUGGCCAGACGCGAGGGCAGGGCCGCUCGAUCAGCACUGUUCAGUCAAAACAGCCCUUACAAAAUGUCCAAAUUACCCUCAUGUUUGGACGGCCAGAUUUAUUUGGUACUCCAAUCCAUGCCAAAGAGUACCAGGGUACCGUAAAAAAGCUCAUGUAUUAUUGGUAGCUGGCUUCAACAAGUCAUGACAACUUGAAAUUUAAAUACAGUGAAAACAUGUGGAACUUUGUCAGGAUCAGAAGACUUAUUCUUAACACCGUUCAUCAUGUUGAGAGCACAGGGUUUGCAUAAACAAAGCAAAAACGCGUAAACCUCAGCAACCUAACAACUAAGAACUCACUUGCUAUUAGUUUUAAUUUGGUAUGGUUUCGUAUAUGUUGGAAUGUUUGAUUUUGUUGGAAUUUCCAAAGUGAACUAAAUGACGUAAACAACAAGCCAGGCAACUGGAAUCUGCAAUCGACAAUGGCAGUAGAAAAGUGUAGUGAUAUAUGUAUGUACCUGGGAGAAGAUGAGCAGCCGGAACUGUUAUGGGUCACAGAGAACACAUUGGAGAGAGACUUUGUGAGGUAUGCAAAGUUUGGUAUCGGCGGCAACGCGGGCACACGCUCCCCUUUCCUCAGCAGCUCCUCCAAGUCGAGCCUUUGCAAAGUGAGUACAGACUUGUUGUCUCUCCAAACAAAGGCGAGCCGGCCAUCCUGGAGAGCAAAGAGUGACCCGGGCUUUGAGCCAGGGUACCUGAACCCAUACCCCGCUGCAAUGCCCUCCCCGGCAAAGCUUCUCGCAAUGUCCACACGGCGGGAAUCCUCGUCGGACUGCCAUGGAAAUGCCUCUGUCGAUGGCUCGCCCAUCCGCGCGAUAAACAUGGCCGACCCAUUGGGAUGCACGACAUAGUGUGUGCCCUCCAACACCUUGGUUGCGAUCAGCAUAAGCUUCCUCUCGCUGUCUUCCUCGUAGGAGAGGAGCAGGAAGAAGAGGGCCUUCCGUGGUUUGCGGUCAUCCUCCGGCCGCCCCGGUGGCCACCCGAAUGUGCCUCCCCACAGUCCGGCAUACUCCCGGCCGGGCACCGGCGCCUGUGUCGCCAGCUUGUAGAGCGCGAACCGGUUGCCAUGCAUGCUUGGCCACGCUCGGUAGGUCGACAGCCGCAGCUGGGCGCCCCGGAGGCUCAGGCCAACGCUCUUGCCGGCGCGCAAGAACUCGUCCAAUGCCAGAUGCUUGCUGCCUCCGAACUCUACCGUUGAAUUGGCCGACGCAGAGCGCGUCACCAUCUGCAGCAGCCCUUUCCUGACGAACCCGGCCAUCGCAGACAGGCUCCUCCGAAGGGGAACCUUAUCACCUGCAGCAUCGCCGUUCGUCGUCGGCGGCAUCUUCUUGGCUGCUUCCAGCAGCAGAGCCUCGAGCUCUGCCCGGCUCACCAUGCCGCCGCCGGACGACGACGAAUCCUUGUGCAGACGCAGCAUCGCCUCCCGGCGCGCGGCGAGCAAGGGGAGGUCCUCAUCGGAGCGCGCGAAGAGCGGCGCCGCGGCGAGGUCCGGCGGGAGCUUGACGCGGCAGGAGGCGACGAGCGCAUCGAGCAGGCCGCAGCGGUUACCGAAGGAGAGGCGGGAGAAGCUGGAGGAGGAAGAAGAGGGAGAAGGCGCGAGGGCCUCGAGGAGGAGGGCGUUGGUGUUGGGGUGGAGGGAGGAGAGGCGGCCGGGGAAGAGGGAUCCGGCGCCGUGGAGGAAGAGGAGCGCGGGGCGGCCAUGGGCGUCGGCGAGGAGCUCGAAGACGGGCGCCCAGCGGAGGCGCGGGGAGAGCUCCUGCGGGAUGGCGCGGAUGGCGACGAGGGAGAGGAACCCCGGGAGCGCCGCCACCAGGUUGCCCAGCUCCGGGUUCUGCUGCGCCCAGAGACCGCGGAGCGGGGCCGCGGAGUGGAGGAAGCGGCAGACGGUAAGAGAGGAGCCCCCGGCGGCGGCGCGCCAUGAGAGGAGGUGCGACGGCGGGGAAGAAGAAGGGAGCAGGCGGCGGCACUGCGCCAGCCAGGGCUUGUCGGCAGCGGAGAGGGCCGCGUGGAGGCGGCGGUCGGCGGCGGAGAGCGCCAGGAGGUCCCGCGGGCGGAGGUGGGCGGAGAUCAGGGCCAGCACGUCGUCCGGGAGCGCCAGGAUCAGCUCGCCCCCGGCCAUGGAGAUCGGGGUUGGGUGGGCCGUCUGCUUCCUUUCGCCUUUUUCUUUUCUUUUCUCAACCUCAAAAAAGUUCCAAGCUUUAUAAUCCUGCGAGAAGAAGACUGUGAAGAGUGACAAGCUCAGCCUGGUCUUUUUCCUCGGACGAUGAAGAAAUAUCUCUUUUUUUUUGCAUUUCGCUCUCGUGCUAUUCUCGCUGGCCACCUUGCUAAAAUAUCUCGAACCACUGUCUACACCAUUUUAUUACGCUUAUCGGUCUAUUUAUCUGCAGUUUCCUCCACAUUGCUCGACAUUGAUAAAUCACCUUCUCUAGUCACCUUCAUGCACCACAAGCUUCAGUGGAUUUACCAAUAAUUUCUUAACCCGAGUCUCUUUCGGACCCAAAAGGUGGACACACAAACUACGUGAUCAACAAGAAUGAUGUGAUACGAGGCAACAAGCAAGGAUCCGCGUCCGUUCAUGGGUUCGGAGUGUCAAAACUCAGCUCUAUGUUUCGUAGGAUUUUUACAGAAUUUCAAUCCUAGGAGUUUUUUUCUACAUGUAGCAUGGUUUCAGAACGAACAUGUUAGAUUUCUAAGAACUGUAUCCAAAUUGGCAUAAUUCAUAAGGAUUCUAAACAUCAGGUACGAGCUCAUUUAAAAUUAUUAAAGAAUAAAUAUGCAUGACAUUUCAAUCAUCUAUUUUCAUAUUCAUAUGAUUUCAAAAUCCUAUGAACCGAAUAAGCCCUAGGAUUACGACGUUGUCAAGGGUCAAGAAUGUAAAAAAGAAAAGUGUUAUAGAAGGGAAAAAAACGUCACCGUCAAAAAGAAUGAAUUAGUUUUGAUUUGGUCACAAGGUCUAGAAGAAGAAGAUGCUGCUUCUUGGUGGAUGUCAUGUCGACGUCAAGAUCACCUAUUGGCACAUUUCGUCCAGUCGUCGUUUGUAGUUUAUGUCCAGCGAAUUUGAGACCCGGUCAAACAGUGAACUCAUCAUCCUCGACGACUUUGACCAGGGUGGGUCCUUUGGGCCUUAAAAGACUCUCCUCGCUUUGGGCCCAUUAUAUUAGACAAGACCCCUUAUACAAAACAAGAGAGAGGCCAAGCCCAUGAGCAGAAGAACGCAACGGGCUGUGGGCCGGAAGCAGUAUCACCGUGGCAUCGAGAGCAGAUUACUUUUUAUUCGCUCAAACUAACAAUGAAACCUGCCCUAAAAAAAAACUAACAAUGAAUGAUCCCUAAAAAAAAAUUACCACUUGAAUGACAGGUCGUCCUCUACAAUUAUGGUUGUUUACAUGGCCUAAAUCAGCCAACUUUGUCUGACCACUCUGCUCUACGGUCGAAUCUAAGCUAGUAACUUAAUGGGCUUGUUUGGUCCUAAUCAUGGAAGAUGAUGAUUGGUCUAUGACAUAGAUACAGACUGGGACAGGGGCGCCAGACUCGUGCCUAAUCCUUCUUGUUUCAUCCAAGAAAAGUCUUAAGCCGUAUACACUGCCAGCCGGUACGCAUCGCAAUCUCAGGAUGACGCUCAAAUUGUCAAACCAGUUUGUCCUAAGAUGAGUUUUUUGUUUUGUUCAACGUAUAGCUGUAAUGGUCUGAUGGCAAAGAAUCUAACUGAAUGUAUAGCUGCAUGGUCUGAUGACAAAAGAGUACGCAUCUCAGAAAAAUGCGGGCAAGAACACAAGCAAAACCAAAGAUUAAUACGAUAACACACUGUACGAAAUUAACACUGGAUAGAGAUCGAAAAAUAACAAUCAAGAAAUACGUAAAUGUAACCCUGCAAAAGAAACAUAAAUGUACUGCAUAAUUACAGUACACAAUAAUACUUGUUGCAGCAAAACUCUGAUGAUCAUCAUCAUUUCUGAUUGUGAAGACGUCCUUUCAAUGAAAUUCAAUCAAGAAACCAAUUGCUUCAUUGCUCAUGAUAGCUACGAGUAGCUAGUAACGGCAUGAAAUCGAGAUCAUCUUAAUCUGUUUUGCAGCUGAUUGCAUGCUCCUCAUUUCUUGGCGGCGGCAUUGCUGGAGGAGGAAGAAGCUGAAGCAGAGGAGGUCCUCUGUUCGUCGACCUUGUGCACCACCUUGCUCCUGCCUCUGUGCGCCACCAACAUCUUCCUCAGCGCGCGCAUCAUCGCCACCAGCCCCGGCGCCCUUCUCCGGGACGAGCCGCUCCUCCUCGCCGCCGCGACCUGCAGCACCGCCACCUCGCGCUCCUCCUUCGCUGCCCGCCGCCGGCGGGAAAUGUCGAAGGACAGGUCGUCGUCGGCCAAGUCCUCCCUGCCGUCGUCGUUGAGGUCCUCCCACAGGCUGUCCAUCAUCUCCUCUUCUUCGUCCUCGGCUCCGGCGGGGGAGCAGAAAUUGGCGCGCCAUGGCGAUGCGGGAGCGGCGCUGGAGUCCGCGGCAGAGAAGCUGCGGCGGAUGGGCGACGACGAGAGCAGCCACGCCGGCGGCGGAGACGCGGACGCCCUGCUGUAAUUCCGGCGGU